rnacentral:rRNA from 1 species
GAUGAACGCUGGCGGCGCGCCUAACACAUGCAAGUCGAACGAUUAAAGCACCUUCGGGUGUGUAUAAAGUGGCGAACGGCUGAGUAACACGUGGGCAACCUGCCCCUUUCAUUGGGAUAGCCACGGGAAACCGUGGAUAAUACCGAAUACUUCGAGACUUCCGCAUGGAAGACUCGAGAAAGCUCCGGCGGAGAGGGAUGGGCCCGCGGCCUGUUAGCUUGUUGGUGGAGUAACGGCCUACCAAGGCAAUGAUGGGUAGCUGGGUUGAGAGACCGACCAGCCAGAUGGGGACUGAGACACGGCCCAGACGCCUACGGGAGGCAGCAGUGGGGAAUCUUGCACAAUGGGCGAAAGCCUGAUGCAGCGACGCCGCGUGCGGGAUGAAGGCCUUCGGGUUGUAAACCGCUUUCAGCAGGGACGAGGCGAAAGUGACGGUACCUGCAGAAGAAGCCCCGGCUAACUACGUG